rnacentral:rRNA from 1 species
GACGGAGGGUGCAAACGUUGUUCGGAAUUACUGGGCGUAAAGCGUGCGUAGGCGGCCCUGUAAGUCGGAUGUGAAAGCCCCGGGCUCAACCCGGGAAGUGCACUCGAUACUGCGUGGCUUGAGUACCGGAGAGGUUGGUGGAAUUCUCGGUGUAGAGGUGAAAUUCGUAGAUAUCGAGAGGAACACCGGUGGCGAAGGCGGCCAACUGGACGGAUACUGACGCUGAGACACGAAAGCGUGGGGAGCAAACAGG